AGUGCCGGGGCUGGAAUGCACCUGGGCGGAUGGUUUCGCCUUUGGCUGGGAUGGGAUCUGUGGAUGUUGUGGCAUGUGGGAUCCCACCUCACUGUGGCCUGAUGAGUGGUACCAUGUCUGCACCCAGGAUCCGAAACAGGGAAACCCUGAGCCACCAAAGCAGAACACCUGAACUUAACCAUUAGGCCCAUGGCCUGCCAAGUGGUACCAUGUCUAUACCCGGGAUCCAAACCAGUGAACCCAGGCUGCUGAAGCGGAACGUGUGCACUUAACUGCUGUGCCACCAGGCCGGCCCCUGGAGGGUGAUUUAAUUGAGGAAGAUUCAUCGUGAAGUAACACCUGUGCCAGUCUUCCUGUGUUUUGUAUGUGGGUCACAGCCCCACACCACUGAUAGUGGUGUAAGGCCACAUACCUGGGAAGCAAACCCAAGCUGCGGAGGCCAAGUGCACCAAACUUAACCCCUAGGCCACGGGCUGGGCCCUUGAUUUUUUUUAAAUAGACACAUUUUCCUUCUUUAUUUUCAAAAACCAAUAGGAAAAAACAGGGAUGCCUGACCUUAUGGAGUAGUUGUGGGCAUGAAAUAAGCAAAUAAAUGACAAUGAGCGUCAUAAAAUGCUAUGCGUUGGUAUGUUAUUUUUAUUGCGUUGACCGUUCCUUGAGGGCUAGGCUACUUCUUUCUCAGUUGUCAUAUGUGCACAUACUUCAUUCAGAUAUUCAUUCCUUCAACGUUACGGUAGAAUGUAAGUUUCGAGAAGUCAGGGACUCUGUCCACACUGUUCUCCUCCAGCUCCUCAAUGCCUGCAAAAGUGCCUGGCGCUCAAUAAAUGUUUGUUGAAUUAAAAAGAAAAACUUACAAAUAGAUAUGUACUAAAGUAGGUAGUAGACGCUCAAUUGUAGGAUGAGACUGCAAAGAACAGGAAUCAAUUGACAAUUACUUAGUGCAUCCCCAGCCUAGUUACAGCUCGAGGCUGUCGU
rnacentral:lncRNA from 1 species